ACAGCUUGGAACAUGAGUUUAAGAAAAACCUAUCUCCAGAAAUGCCUCUGGUACCACUGUGAAGAUCGUGAAAGAAUUUCAAGGAGCAAAUGAAGAGACAAAAAGGAUCCUGUGACACAAAACCAACAGAACUUGCUCCAGACUCUUCCUUGAGGAGCAUAGCAGAAUUGCUUCAGACAGCUGCCACCAUCCACAUUGCUGCAACUGGCUCCAUACGGUAGAACCUCUGCCUACAGAGCCUCUGGCAAAGGGCACAAAAGACCACUCUGUUUUGGGACACUCAGAUGUAAAGACCAGGAGAACUGAGCAUGUACAAGGCCAGCAUCACAAACCUGACUGAGGGUUCAAGGACACAUCAGAAACAGAAUUCUGUCUCCAAAGAUGUCACUGUGCAGGAGCACAUAGAUACCUGGGACCUGGUCAAAAGACAACAUGCAUCUUUCCAUUGACUGUCCUAGUUUCAGAUCUGAAUCCUAAAGGACCCAGAGCUAUUUGCUGAUGUCUUAAGUUACGAUUUGUUUAAAAGCUUCCCAUCUGUUCAGGUUUGUACUCUUGUUCAGGUUUGUACUCUGUUUCAUAGACAUUUAAAUUACUGCUGGAUGGAUGUGGUAGAAUGAUGAUUUUGGAAACAUUCUCAUUGGUUUUUAAUUUCUUAUGUGCUGUGUUUUUACAGGGAUCAGCACAAAAAGGCAAAACACAACGAACUGUGACAGAAUAUAUAAACCAGCAUGAACUGCCUACAGAUAAAUGAAAACUGUCCAAAAUAAUAGAGACCGGUGUGAAUCAUGACCAAUAAGCAUAUUUGUAAUAAUAAACAUGUCAUCUGUCUCAGAUAAAUAUUUCACAAAUAUUUAUUAAGAUAACAAACAGAUGAUUAAUACAGAGACAUCCCAAAUUCAGAUCAUGUCUCUCAGUUCUAGUAGAUAUGUAUUAUCAGCCAAAUCUGCCAAAAUAAAUCUGGUGCUCUCACAGAGGUCAUCAUACCUCACAAAUUAAAAAAAGAAAAAAAAGGGGGGAAGAAAAUAAAGGAGAGUACAAAGAAGAAGAGAGAAGGCAAGCAUUUUUUUUCCCUUUCUACUAGUAUGACAUAGUUUAGAGAGAUCAGGCUGCAUUAGUGCUACUAAAGAUGAUAUAAGCAUGAUGGUGAUAAGAAAAAACUGAAGGCACAGUUGAGGGAGAGGCUUCCCCUGGUAGCUGCAUUUCUGACCCCAAUCCUAUAAGCUGCUCCAGGCAAGCAGGUGCAAGAGGCCUCAUUUUGAAAUCAGUGGGUUCAAGCCAAGCAGAAAAAUCUGUAUAGCUGGAACAUCAGCCUGCAGUUGCCAUUUACCUCCUUUUGCCAGUCUUUCAGAUGUAGAUAACACUUUGUUGGUAUGGCAUGAGUUUUGGUGUGCUGAAAAAAUGUGACAGAGUAUUUAUUCUUCAACUCUGGUGGUUGCAGAAUGAAGCCAGUCAUUUUUAAAAGUGAACCAAAGUUAAAUUUCAGGAUGAGCUAAAUAAAAAGAGUUGUUUCUUAGUGCAAACCCAUACUAGUGCAUUGUGCAGGUGAUGGAUGUACAGUCCUGAGCUUCUGGAAACAGAGAGGCUGAGGUUGUAGCAGCAGUGGGAAUUCUUCCGUAACGUACAUUCUGUAUGUUUCACAGCAUAGAUUUCAGGAUAUAAAUAUUAUUACACCAAACUGAAAAAACAGGCCUAUAAAAUACUGAAUGUGACCGAGACAGUAUUGGUUCUGAAACUAAUUUUUUGUAUUUCCUUCCCUUCUAUGAAAGUAAUGGUGUAUACCCAAUGCCAAGAUCCUGCUGCCUAUAUUCAAAGAGGGACAGGAGGCACUCAUAAUGUGACAGUCUGCCUGUCCUGGCUUGGUCUUCAAAGAGGAGUAGGAGCAAAAACUAUCUCAUCACUGAUAGUGCUGGUUGAGAUAAACCCAGGGAGCUAUUGUGAUGGGACCCAAAGUGGAGAUGUUCUGGCAAGUGCUGGCAUUUUUACCACCCAACAUGCUAGUUAACCCUCUUCAUCAUUACUGGUACUUCCAGCGGUGUCACUGCUGCUUCGGCUGAACUGGUAGGUAGCCCUGAUUGGAACCUGUCCUGCUUAAACAGCUAUGCUACAGCUAGCGAACUGUUCAGUGAGCUCCUGAAAGAUUAAAACCCUCUCUUACGGGUAAGAGUCAAGCUAAGCAGAGCUAAAUGCAAGGGUUCACUACGUGCUUUCAGAGAGUAAAACUCACAGUGACUUUAGUGGCAGCUGAGAUUUCACCCUGCAUGACAUCUAUAUUGCUUUUCUAGUGGUUCUGAGGUAGUGGUGAAUAUGAAGUACUUUGCAGUGACAGAGACAGGGUAGAGUAUUGUACCACAGUUUGCAUGGCUAUAGGGAAUAAAGCCCAAAAUAAAAUCAAGAACUCUCAACUGGAAAUACCAGCCAGCAUAAGAGGCAGUUGCUGCCCUUAUUCCCUACUGGAGCUAGUGCCAUCACUGCCAGGCCAGUGUGAAUUUUAAGGAAUAUUCUUGUAGGUGGUUUUAUAUUUUCGUUUGCCUUCUGAUAAGUCCUACUUACUCAUUUUGACAUACCCCCCAAAAAUCCUUCUCUCCCUUUAUGUUUAUAUAUUUGAAUCCUUUCAGAUAUUCUUUCCCACCCACAGCAAGUUUUUUUGUGAAGGUCCUGAAUCCUUUGAGUCUUUUCCUUACAAGCCAGCUUCUUGCUCCUAAUGCUGUUUGACUUACCUGUCCUGGCCAUCUCUGUGCUUAGCCUACUUCCCUGCAUGCCAGAAAGGUCAAGUCUCUAAGUCCCCUGCACUGUACACGGAUGCAUCCACAACCACCCGCUUUAAAGGCAGGAGUACCCCAAGGCUUUGCAGGCAGAGGGCACCUGUGCUGUCUCACCAUUCAGUGCAGGAUGCAGCUUAUCUUUAGCAAUCCAGCUCAGCAUCUCUGCCUGGCAGCAAAAUACUUGGACAAAUGUAGAUAGAGAGGCCCCCUCGAACAAACAAGGGAUUUCUGGGCUCAACCCUGGUUCUCUGCAUUCAAUGGGAAAUUCAAGGACAUAUUCAUGAUCCGUACAGAUCUGAGAACACACCUUUCAUUGCUGAUUGAAGUUCAGCCUGAGCUGAGAGGUUAGGAACUUGGCUGUGUUCCUGUCUUCCUUCCUGAUGAAAAUUCUUGGUUCCGGCUCAUGUUAAUGGAUAUGCUCACUUACUACUGAAGGCCGUGUUGAAAUGGAUGUAGUGAAUUGUCAUAAAUUGUUUGUUUGCCAAAAU